AUGAAAACCAGCCCUGCCCUGACCUUGCAGCUCAAGCAGAAGAGCCCAGCCCUGGAUUCCAAAUCCUCUCACUCAGUGAUUAUCACUGAACACAGAACUCUCACCAUGGGUUUGAGGCUCAGCUGGUUUUUCUUUGUCCUUAUUAUAAAAGGUGCCCAGUGUGAUGUGCAGCUAGUGGAGUCUGGGGGAGGCUUAGUACAGCCUGGAAAGUCCCUGAAACUCUCCUGUGCAGCCUCUGGAUUCACAUUCAGUAACAAUUACAUGAGCUGGGUCCGCCAGGCUCCAGGGAAGGGACUGGAGUGGGUUGCAUAUGCAUACAUUAGUGGUGAUAGUGGUUACAUCAAGUAUGCCGAUGCUGUCAAUGGCCGAUUCACCAUCUACAGGGAGAAUGGCAAGAACAUGCUGUACCUGCAAAAGAACAGGCUGAGCUCUGAGGACACAGCCAUGUAUUACUGUACCAUAGUCACAGUGAUACAAUUCUACUGUGAGCUCAGACACAAACCUCCCUGCAGGGUGAUCAGGACCAGCAGGGAGCAACUGGAUCUCAGAGAUAUAGGCAAUUGA